rnacentral:rRNA from 2 species
GCUUAGCCCUAAACCUCAGUAAUUAUUUAACAAAAUUACUUGCCAGAGAACUACUAGCCACAGCUUAAAACUCAAAGGACUUGGCGGUACUUUAUAUCCACCUAGAGGAGCCUGUUCUAUAAUCGAUAAACCCCGCUAUACCUUACCACCCCUUGCUAAUUCAGCCUAUAUACCGCCAUCUUCAGCAAACCUUAAAAAAGAAUAAUAGUAAGCAAGAGUAUAUGCAUAAAAACGUUAGGUCAAGGUGUAGCUCAUGGGGUGGAAAGUAAUGGGCUACAUUUUCUUCCUAAGAAUAUUACGAGACUCUCUAUGAAAUUAAAGAGCAAAGGAGGAUUUAGUAGUAAAUUAAGAAUAGAGGGCUUAAUUGAACCGAGCAAUGAAGUACGC